UACAGAGGUGGCAAGCGUUGUUCGGAAUUACUGGGCGUAAAGGGCGCGUAGGCGGUUUUGUAAGUCAGACGUGAAAUCCCCAGGCUUAACUUGGGAACUGCGUCUGAUACUGCAAAACUUGAGUGCGGGAGAGGGAUGUGGAAUUCCAGGUGUAGCGGUGAAAUGCGUAGAGAUCUGGAGGAACACCGGUGGCGAAGGCGGCAUCCUGGACCGACACUGACGCUGAGGCGCGAAAGCUAGGGGAGCAAACGGG
rnacentral:rRNA from 1 species